GAUGAACGCUGGCGGCGUGCUUAACACAUGCAAGUCGAGCGGAGCGGCGACCGGGUGAGUAACGCGUGAGUAACUGCCCCCCUCUCUGGGAUAACCGUUGGAAACGGCUGCUAAUACCGGAUAGUGGGGGAUGACUCGCGUCCUAUCAGCUGGUUGGUGGGGUAGUGGACUACCAAGGCGACGACGGGUAGCCGGCCUGAGAGGGGGACCGGCCACAUGGGUCUGAGAGACGGCCCAAACUCCUACGGGGGGCAGCAGUAGGGGAUAUUGCACCAUGAGGGAAAGCCUGAUGAAGCAUCGCCGCGUGCGGGAUGACGUCCUUCUGGUUGUAAACCGCUUUCAGCCAUGACGCGGUAUUGGCAGAAGAAGCACCGGCUAACUACGUGCCAGCAGCCGCGGUAAUAC
rnacentral:rRNA from 1 species